GAUGAACGCUGGCGGCGUGCCUAAUACAUGCAAGUCGAGCGAAGCGGGGACGGGUGAGUAACACGUGGAUAACCUCCUAUAAGACUGGGAUAACUUCGGGAAACCGGAGCUAACCCCGACACUUAUAGAUGGAUACGCGCUGUAUUAGCUGGUUGGUAAGGUAACGGCUUACCAAGGCAACCAUGCGUAGCCGACCUGGGAGGGUGAGCAGCCACACUGGAACUGAGACACGGCCCAGACGCCUACGGGAGGCAGCAGUAGGGAAUCUUCCGCAAUGGGCGAAAGCCUGACGGAGCAACGCCGCGUGUGUGAUGAAGGUCUUCGGAUCGUAAAGUUCUGUUAGUAGGGAAGCGGUACCUAAACAGAAAGCCACGGCUAACUACGUGCCAGCAGCCGCGGUAAUAC
rnacentral:rRNA from 1 species